UGACGAGUGUGAAGCUCCUCCCCUUCUGUCUCCUGAUCUCCUCCCACUGUAUUCUCCCUCUCCAUGCUGCUGUAUCCAUCACAACCUCACUGGGAGCAGAGGGCAUGAAGAAGGCUAAAUGAUGGACGCCAAGCUCAGCAGCUGAUAAAACAUUUGUUAGGUCAUCUUAAGUUUUUUUCUACGACUGUAUUCAGCCCCACCCAUUAAGUCUCAUCAGCUGCUAAAGAAAAUCCCCCUCCAGCAUGACUCUACCACCACCAUGCUUCACCCUGGAGGAGUCACAUCUCCACAUUCUGCUUCCUCUACUUUGUUGGGACUGAGGGAUUCAUGUUAGUAAUAAUAACACAUUAUUUCACUGCUCGAGUUUAUUGUAUCCACUGCGAUAUGAGAUUUGGUGAAGUAAACAAUACAGUGUAUAUUGUGUUGAAUAAUUUAGAAGCAUUUCUAUUUUCAGUGCUGCAGACUCGUAUCUCAGCUUGGUGUCCCUGCGUACAUGUAGCACUAUUGUCCUGUUUCUGGUCAGGUUCCUCCUUGGACUAUUUCAUAAAUGUGGUCAGGGAAAAAAAAAACUGCUUCAAAAAAACACAAAAGGAGGCGCAUUUCUAUUCACUGUCUGCCUGUUUUUCAGUUUUGUUCUUCACUACACCAGACGUGCCUCCUUGCAAUCGCUUUUUGUCAUCAGCGUAAGAAACCACUUCUUAUUUUCUAAAGCAGAAGGACUCAUUCUGUGGAUUUUUUUUUAAUUUUACAUGUUUCUUGAUGUGUCUCACCUCUAACCCUGAUGUUCUAAAGAGUUAUUUAAAUGCCGUUCUAUGUCCUUUUCAGUAUUUGCCAAGUCAGGUUCUUCGUCUCAAAAAUGGCUUCCUGCUUUCUGGUUAAGCUGGUCCAACAUGGCUAACUAGCACACCUUUUCCCUGUGCUGCUCAUUAUCUUCUCAGUAAAAAAUGCUCCAGAGUUUUUGUUUGUUUUCUUGACCAUCUUUGUUUCUUUUGUCCGUAUUGGUCAUCCUCCAAGCUGAGCUCUUUGUUUUGGUCCAGCCGUGAUCCAAAAAAGUUUGUAUUUUCAAUAGCAGGUUUUUGUUGGUCUUUCUGCUGCUGCAUCAGGUUUUUGUUUCAUUUUAUGCCUUUGCUCCUAAGUUCGCUGGACUAUUGAAGAAAUAGACAUCUUGACAUCUAUUUCAUCAACAAGGACUUCUACUUGCCAAAUUGCUUGCCCCCUUAUCACAUCAGCAAAUCUUACUUGAAGCUUAAAAGUGUUAUCUUAUGACUACAUGAUGAAGCUGAUAGUCACUUUAGCAGCGUUGAAGACAGAAGUGGAUCUCCAACAACUAUAGACUUAAAUCUGGAUCAAAUACAUUGUGACAUACCAUCUAAUACAAGAACAAAUGACACAAUCUGUAUUCCUCUCCCAGCUCUGGUGGUUCCUAUCUUGGCGUCGUAGCUGAUGGUGACGUCACACUAAACAACAGCGCCUUUCCCUCCAUGGUGAAGGAAAAUCCUGUUGCCGUGGCAACCACAUCCAUGCUUCUGCAGCUUGUGCCAAAAGUAAUUGGCCAGGAAAAUCGGAAAGGAAAAACAGAAAAGGCUUUAUUAGAUAUUGGAGGUCUGAGUUGAUGAAGUUGGUCAACAUUCAGACAGGCUGCUGAAAAGAUAUGAGUGAUAUGUUUAAUUUGCCUUUCUAAGCGAGGCCAGAGGCCUUUUCUUGACCAGAGCAGAAAUCAUCAGAAGAAAAGUGCAAAUUCUCACAGAAGGGAAUAAUGAAAGAGGCCUCGGAAAAACUGAUAGUGAUUACAGAGAUUAGAUCUGAUUAAAUCAUCCUCACAGCAAACAUUAAUAAACGCCCAAACUCUUCACAGUUAAUUUAGUUUAUCUGAUGGCAACAUGCUUGGUAUUUCUGUUGACCUACGCAGAUUAAUCUGAGCUCUCAGUUUCCUGCGACCAAAGUAAAAAAGAUGAAAUGUUUUCUUGGUUUUCUUGAGAUCACAAGUCUUUCAAGAGCCUCCCUCCCCCCUUUGCACCAGUAAACACAGCUUUGGAUGUGAUGCUGUUUCGGUUCCUGGAAACCUCAGCGAACCCCACGACCUCAUCAGGACUCUGUGGAAGUCCCUCAGAAAAUGUGCUGCCAUCUGGGACUCUUUGAAGACAUUAUGGGAAAGAGUAAACAGAUAUAAAAAGCUUUAUGGUGGGCUACCAAUGAUCCCUGGAGUGUUUGUGAAACCUCUAGGCACACACUUGCCAAACACCAAGGCACCUCUAAGAAAAGCUGGUCCCCCCAGAAAAUUCAUUGUGCUCCUUUGGGGAAAACUUUGAAAAGACAAAAAAAAAAAA